AUGAUGGACAGUACUUGCUUCAUUAUCUGCUGCCUGUUUCCCUUCCAUCAUCUCCUUACCUUUUACUUCUAACAACCCUUUGAUGCACAGAUUCACCAUGACUACAGGAAUCAGAUUCAUUAUGAAAUAAAUUUAGUUUUGAGAAAACAUUUUAAAUUCAUAACCGUAUAAGUCAAACACUUUCGUAUAUCUAUGUGAUAGCACUCACGAAAUGGUUACGGUAAAGUAAGUAUGUAACAUAUUAAGCUACAAAUGGAUGUAAUUCUCCUUUUUUCAGGUUGAAACAGUGAACUCCAUCAUGUAGACUGUCAUCGUAAGAAGAUGAAGUAUAAUAAUUUCCAAGACUACAUGAAUUACAGAGGAAAAAUAACAGAGUUGCUGAAGUACCUGUUGUAUGAUACCAAUCUCUUCUGUGAUGUGCCACAUUUUACAAGAUAAAAUCACUAACAAGCAAAGGCAGAAUGUGGGCACAUCAAGCAGCUUCUUAAAACAUUACGCACAGCCAACAAAAGUGCACAAUGCAGUUCAUACCAAACAUAAACAGGACUCCCAAUAUAAUUCCAUGUCCGAAGAUUUAUCGCCCUGAUGACGGAGGCAGUAUGACCUCUGAAACGUUCGUAAACAUCGACCAGACUACAUAGCGCAACAACCCAGAAGACAGAAAUCUUCAUACUCAUCGCUGUGAAAACCUCAUAUCUUACAAUUCCAUGUCUGUUUGUAGUUAAAGCUGGAAUGAUGUGUGUAUUUCCAUGUUACAUCCUACAUAAUGCAAUAACAGAUACAAUUUGGACUGACACAAAUAAUGAGAUUUAAAUGCAAAGAACUGAUAUUCAUACUACUUUUAGUUAUUAUGUUGUCUAUUGUGCAGUUGUCUUGAAAUUGAUUGAGCAAUAUUUUCUGAGCAACAGAUUUUCAAUAUCAGGAAAUAAUAAAUCUGCCCUAUUUUUAUAACAAUUUUUUCUAACCUGG